GCGUUGGUGGUUUAGUGGUAAAAUUCAUCGUUGCCAAGAGUCGACGCUCCUCAAACAGAACACCCACGAGUCUUCUCGAGAAGCCCAACACUAGAUUCGAUGAGCCCCGGGUUCGAUUCCCGGCCGACGCA
rnacentral:tRNA from 1 species